rnacentral:rRNA from 1 species
UACAGAGGUCUCAAGCGUUGUUCGGAUUCAUUGGGCGUAAAGGGUGUGUAGGCGGCGCCGUAAGUCGGGUGUGAAAUUUCGAGGCUUAACCUCGAAACUGCAUUCGAUACUGCGGUGCUUGAGGACUGGAGAGGAGACUGGAAUUCAUGGUGUAGCAGUGAAAUGCGUAGAGAUCAUGAGGAAGACCAGUGGCGAAGGCGGGUCUCUGGACAGUUCCUGACACUGAGACACGAAGGCCAGGGGAGCAAACGGG